ACGGGUAAUCACCACUGGUGGCACGUGGAACACAGACAGCCCCUGACUGCAACUCAUUUUCUCGUUUAAUCCUUGCAACACUCCGGGGUGGGGGGUGGGGGGGGGCAGUUUUACCCUCUCUGUUUUAAAUUGUGAAGAUCAAGGCUGAAGGUGAACCCGGCGAAGGUAACCCACCAGGUUGGAAGAGAACUUCUGCAGUAGCUCCGGGUUGUCAAUACUGAUGGAAUGCGGAGGGCACCCAACCGCAUGGCCACUUGGGGGAAGUGCUUAGAAGAUCCACGUGGACAUAUUAAAGAGAAAAUGGGGAAGCUGCAUUUCGAUUUGGAUCUGGAAACCCAGCAGGCUCCUAAAAACUUGUUCGUAGAAUUACGUUCCAUUUCACACUUCAGAACAAUCUGGAGAUGCUUCUGGCGGGUGAUCACUUCCGAUGCGGAGGACGGAAUGAGAG